rnacentral:rRNA from 1 species
AUACGUAGGGGGCUAGCGUUAUCCGGAAUUAUUGGGCGUAAAGAGUGAGCAGGCGGUUAAUUUAGUCUGAGGGUAAAGCGUGGGGCUCAACCCCAUAAAGCCUUGGAAACUGAUUGACUAGAGUACGGGAGAAGUGAAGGGAACUCCAUGUGUAGCGGUGAAAUGCGUAGAUAUAUGGAAGAACACCAGUGGCGAAGGCGCUUCACUAGCCCGAAACUGACGCUCAGUCACGAAAGCGUGGGUAGCAAAUAGGAUUAGAUACCCUAGUAGUCCACGCUGUAAACGAUGACAACUAAAUAUUGCCGCGAGGCAGUGUUGAAGCUAACGCAUUAAGUUGUCCGCCUGGGGAGUACGGUCGCAAGACUGAAACUUAAAGGAAUUGACGGGG